ACCUUGGUAGUUCAAUCGGUAGAGGGUGAGACUCUUAAACCCGGGGUUGUGGGUUCGAAACCCGUGUUGGGGU